CCUACGGGAGGCAGCAGUGGGGAAUAUUGCACAAUGGGGGAAACCCUGUUGCAGCGACGCCGCGUGAGCGAUGAAGUAUUUCGGUAUGUAAAGCUCCAUCAGCAGGGAAGAAAAUGACGGUACCUGACUAAGAAGCCCCGGCUAACUACGUGCCAGCAGCCGCGGUAAUACGUAGGAGGCAAGCGUUAUCCGGAUUUACUGGGUGUAAAGGGAGCGUAGUCGGGUUGGCAAGCCAGAGGUGAAAGGCUGAGGCUCAACCCCAGGACUGCAUUUGGAACUGUCAUGCUAGAGUGUCGGAGAGGCAGGCGGAAUGCAUGGUGUAGCGGUGAAAUGCGUAGAGAUUAGGAGGAACACCAAUGGCGAAGGCGGCCUGCCAGACGAUGACUGACGUUGAGGCACGAAAGCGUGGGGAGCAAACAGGAUUAGAUACCCGGGUAGUC
rnacentral:rRNA from 1 species